rnacentral:misc_RNA from 1 species
UCCCCCGUGAGGGGGCAGUCUCGCCUGACAUAUAAAACAGGCAACGAGGGUUGCGUUCGUUACCCCACUGAAGGGAACAACUCAAGCCACGAACUGACGACGACCAUGCAUCACCUGGCCUACUGCCUUGCGGGGGCCAAAGUUUCCUAAGGCUUACAGUAGACUUUCAAACCCUGGUGAGGUUCUUCGUUUGCCAUCGAAUUGAGCCGCAUGAUCCACCGCUUGUGCAAGUCCCCGUCUAUUCCUUUGAGUUUUAAUCUUGCGAUCGUACUACCCAGGCGCACGACUUAACGCGUUAGCUUCGCCACAAAGAGGGUCGAUACUCCUUAUAGCCAGUCGUGAUCGUUUAGGGCGUGGACUA